AUUAAAUUUAAUAAGUAACAAAACAAUAUGUAUGUGCAAAAUAAAAAUUAGCACAAAUUAUGAAGUUUGUUAUAUAAAUUACGAAAACAAAGAUAAAAUGAAUUAUGACAGUAUAGUUAAUUUUUUAAUUCUGUUUUACUACAAUUAUGAACACCUUAUAAAUUUUAUUAACAACUCAUGUUAUUUUAUGUGUGAAGAUUAUGUAAAAAAAAUACCAUUUAAAAACUACAACAACAUUAAUAAUUCUUUUAUAUCAUCUAGUAUCUAUGAUGAAUUGUCCAUAUCCUCGAAUUUAAAAAGUGCGUUAAAUUUUUCUAAAAAAAAACAAAGUGAAAAUAGUAUCAAGGAUGACAUGGAAAAUAUUAAAAAGAAGGACAACAUGGUAAACGAUAAAAGUGUUACAAACAUUACCCACACUUUAUAUAAUACCACAUGUGAAAUGAUAACUGAAAAUAAUCAUCUGUUACCUAUAUCAACAAAUGAUAUACAAAUUAACGAUACAAUAAUACCAUAUGUACAAGAUAUAGAUAAAACAAGUAGUGCAAAUGAUAAAAAAUGUAAUUUGUUGACAAAUGAAUUCGAAAAGUAUGUAGAUUUAAAUAUAAACAAAAAACUACAUUAUAAUGAUUAUUAUUAUUGUUCAAGCUCACAAAACGAUGAUGAAGAAAGUUCCAAUAUGUCAGACUUUUCUUUUGUUUUUGAUAAUAAUAUAAAUGAUGAAUUGAGCAUAAAAAAUAGUGAACAUAAUGUAUAUACAAAAGGGGAAAAUAAAAAAAACGGAUCUUCUCAUAUUUCGGAUUGUACUUAUGUAAAUAGCAAUCAUAGUGGUGUAGGUGACGGUGAUAGUAACAAACAAAGCAAAUGGGAUAAUAACAAAAGUAGCGAUAACAGUAGUGACAACCGUGGAAACAAUGAUAACCACCGUGACGAUGUAGAUUAUCACGAAAAAUACAAUUAUGUCAAUAACUUAUCUUUAUACAAAAUAAUGGAAUACUUAAUUCUUAGUACUGGCAUAACGGGUAUGACAACAAAAGAAAUAUCUAUUUUUUUACAGCUUUCAAUAAAAAAAACUAAUAUAUAUCUUCAAAAAAUUGUAAAAAAUAAUAAUAUUAUUAAAAUACCGGAAAGGAAAGAUAAACGUUUCAUGUUUAGAUUUAUUCACAAAUUUAUUUAUCAGUAUAUACAAAAAAAAAGUAUCAAUUUUGUGUCACCUAACAUAAAAUCACAGAAUGAUAAAACAGAAUACAACAACCUGAGUAACAAUACAGCCCAAGAACAUAACAAGUAUAUGGAUCAUAACGAACUUGAUGUAAGUACGAUACAAAAACAAAAUACAAUCGAUAUUAAAGAAAAUGCAUUUUCAGAAAAAUAUGAUAUAGAAAAUGGGAAUGGCGUUAAUAUAGAUAAUGAUGCUAAUACCAAUGUCAAUACCAUGGUUAGUACUAGUGCUAAUACCUCCGAUACUAUCAAUGCUUGUAAUAAUAACACACAAUUUUUAAAACAAAACAACACAAACAAAUUAUUAGAUGCAAAAAAGGAGAAUCUGCUAGUUAACUCGACAGAUCCAAAUGCAAACGUAAUCCCCAUAGAAUUUAGAAAUCUCAACGAAUCAAUAAAUAUACUUAAUUAUAUAAAUACUAUGAACAAAAUAAAUAUAGAUGUUUUAAUUUAUGUUAUACCUACAUAUAAAGAUUGUUGUUACAACUUCACAAAUUUUAUAGAUUUUUUUAAUUAUUAUGUAAAUAGAAUUAAAUAUUUUGAUAGCAAAUAUGACUUUUAUACAUGUAGUUUUCAUUUUUUUUAUUAUUUAAAAUUUAUACAAAAACAAUUAAAAACAAACAAAGAUUUGUUAUACGAUAGAAAUUUGAACUAUGAUAUAUCAAAAGAAGAAAUAUUAUAUGAACAACAAAAAAAAGAAAUCAAUAAAAUAGUUAAAAAAGAAUUUCAGGUUAAAAAUUCCAAAAAUUCCCAAAGUAAUAUUGCUUUUAUUAAAUAUUUUAUGGAAGAUACUAAUAAAUUAAAAAGUAAUUUGUUUAUCAAAAGAUUAUUUAUUUUUACUCAUUUUCUUGUUUGUGCAAAAGUAUUGACUUUUCGUUUUAUACAAGAUCUGUUUUCUACAAUCGAAUCCAACGGUAAAGUUAUUGAUCGAAAAUCUAUUAGACGUCUUUUUGAUUAUUCAGCAAAAAUUAAUAGUUUUUUUAAGAUCUAUAAACUGACAAGCAAUAAAAUAAUAAAAUAUUUUUUUUACGAUUCAAAUAUGUUAUCAGAGAAACAGUCAUUAGAUUUGCAUGCAACAUAUCAACAACAGUAUGGACAAAUUUUUUAUAAGCACAAUUGUGGUGACAGAUUAGAUAAAAAUAUAACAGAAUAUUGUUAUAACAUAUCGAUGGAUAAUUUUGUUCCAAAUACAUUAAAACACGAUACAGAUGCAUAUGAUGAUCAUGUAAAUGAUCCGCUUACUCAUAAGUCAACCAUUACUAACAAUGUCAACAUUGUAGAAACAACGAUGCAUAAUAAAAUUAACUCCAAAAAAAUACACAAAAUACAUAAACAAAAUCAUUCUACACAUAUCAAUAUGAAUCAUACAACAAAAAAUAGUAUUAACAAUCAACUGAAGAUACAAUAUGGUACAAAAGAGUUAUCAAAACAUAUAAAAAAUUGCAAAAAUAAAGAUAGUAAUUUAAAUAAAAUAGAAGAAUAUAGCAAUACUAUCACAAAAAAUAAUACUACAUAUAAUUAUACCAUUAAAAACAAUAGUACUAUUAAUAAUAAUAAUAAUAAUAAUACUUUAUAUAAUGAAAACAUAUCUAAAAAAUUUUUAAAUUUAGAAAGUAAUAAAAGGAAAAAUUUUAGCAACUCAAAUUCUAUCACAUUCAGUAAAAAAUACAAAAUAGAACAAUCUCCAACAAUAAAUGAUAGUAUACAAAAUUAUCAAUCAAAUUUAUUACAAGUAUCACAAAAUAUAUAUAAUACAUCUAGUAAUACAUAUGAAAAAAAUAAAAAAAUGAAUGAAAAUGAUGAUGCAAUGGUUGAACCGUUGUCAGAAACACAACAAAAUGAUAAAUGCAGUGAUGUAAACAACGUAAAUAAUAAAAGCGCAUUAUGUAGUAGUAAUAGUAGUAGUACUAAUAAUAAUAAUAAUAAUAAUAAUAA
rnacentral:lncRNA from 1 species